GUGUUUUUUCACGUGGCCAUUUUUAUAUAAAGCUUCAGCGUUACUUGUAGUUUGUUACUUGACUGUAAUAUUGGGUACAAGCUAACGAUUAAAAUGGAUGGCAAGCCAAUUCCGCAAAGUUAUUUUGGAACAUGAAACCAAAGUAAAACUCCCACAAUCAAAGUUAAAGUUGAUGGGUUACAAAAUACUUUCCUGGCAUUACUUGAUGAUUCUUAGACAAAAGAACUUCUGAUUGGUCAAGAAAACGUGGCAGUAGAAUCCCAAAAGAUGUGGUGGUUGUCCAACUCUCUGGCAUAUAUCCCAGGUCCUUUGCCGUAUGCCAACACAAUGUCAAUAACUCUAUAGAAGAAGCUACAAUCAAAAAACAUGUGAACCAGAUUUCUUGCAUGUCAAGAAAAUGUCAUCAUUUAGGUUUACCUGUGUUUUAUAGUUGUGCAGAUUUACACGCAAUAAACUAAAUAUCAGAUCAGGAGUCUCAUUCUGAAUAACUUGGUGUGGCAGAGCAAUGACGGUCGUAUAACACUGGAGUUUGGUUUCAUACACCUCCUGCUUGCUUAAGAGUUGCUAUGUAUGUGCAUUUGUGGGUGAUUAAUUUUUAGUUUUAUAUGUACAGCUGAAAAUUUGUACAACUCUGAGGACCACAGAGAUGAGUCUUGAACUCUAAAAUUUCAUAGACCAUA